AACGAACGCUGGCGGCAUGCCUAACACAUGCAAGUCGAACGAGACCUUCGGGUCUAGUGGCGCACGGGUGCGUAACGCGUGGGAACCUGCCCUUAGGUUCGGAAUAACUCCCCGAAAGGGGUGCUAAUACCGGAUAAUGUCUUCGGACCAAAGAUUUAUCGCCUUUGGAUGGGCCUGCGUUGUAUUAGAUGGUUGGUAGGGUAAAAGCCUACCAAGGCGAGGAUCCGUAGCUGGUCCGAGAGGAUGAUCAGCCACACUGGGACGGAGACACGGCCCAGACUGCGAUGGGAGGCAGCAGUGGGGAAUAUGGGCAAAUGGGCGAAAUGCGGGUGCAGAAGUGCCGCGUGUUUGAAGAAGGUGUUCCGAUUGUAAAGAACUGUAAGUUGGGAGGAAGGGCAGUAAGUUAAUACCUUGCUGUUUUGACGUUACCAACAGAAUAAGCACCGGCUAACUUCGUG
rnacentral:rRNA from 1 species